UUUGGUGCGGCCAACCGACAUGGGGCUGUCUCUUCACUCUCCCUCCUGUCAUUUAAUUUGUCGGGGCUGGGAUGCUUGUGAUCGGUUGCCUGUGUAGUUCUACCCUGUUGUGCGUAGCGAAGUUGUCCCUCGAUUGAUAUUUGCUUGCCUUUCUGACAUUUUUUUGUCGUUUGGGCAGCCGAAAUGAUGGUGAAAUUCUUGUGUAGGGGCGUGGUCGAAUGGCCUUGUGCUAUCACCUGGAUUUUUGCCGGCUCUCACGGAUGCAGUGCCUAGUGUUGGCUCUGCGUGGCUUUGCCCUGCAGAAUUCGGGAGGUCCCUUGUACGAAUCAUUGUGAUCAGAUGCCGUUUGUCGUGUUGCUUGUUUGGCACGCAAAUCGUAUUGUUCUGUCUGGAGUCGGGAUGACGAAGGGCAGAAUGAAGUGUCUGGGGCGUGCUUGCGUACAU
rnacentral:misc_RNA from 1 species